rnacentral:rRNA from 1 species
GCCAAACAGCUAGCUUGACCAUCAAUAUAACCCAACAAUGUUUAUAACAAGACAGAGCCCCACACCAAAAACUAAACCAUUUUUUUACCUAAGUACGGGAGACGGAAAAGGUUCCGCCCAAAGCAAUAGAAAAAGUACCGCAAGGGAAAGCUGAAAGAGAAAUGAAAUAACCCAUAUAAGCCCUAGAAAACAAAGACUAAACCUUGUACCUUUUGCAUCAUGAUUUAGCCAGCACACUCAAGCAAAGAGUCCUUUAGUUUGAUGCCCCGAAACCAGGUGAGCUACCCCGAGACAGCCUAUAUAGUUUAGGGCUAACCCGUCUCUGUGGCAAAAGAGUGGGAAGAGCUCCGGGUAGAAGUGACAGACCUACCGAACCUGGUGAUAGCUGGUUGCCUAAGAAAUGGAUAGAAGUUCAGCCCCGCACACCCCCAAACCAAAAGCCUCUUAUUUAAGAUAUUUAAGGGAAAUGUGCAGGAGUUAGUCGGAGGGGGUACAGCCCCUCUGACAAAGGAUACAACCUUCGCAGGAGGAUAAAGAUCACAAUAUAUAAAACCCACCGUUCUAGUGGGCCUAAAAGCAGCCAUCUAAACAGAAAGCGUUAAAGCUCAGACGGAGUGAAGUUUAUUAUUCCGAUAAAAAAUCUUAUUCCCCUAAUAGUAUUAGGCUAACCCAUGCCCACAUGGAAGAGAUUAUGCUAAAAUGAGUAACAAGAAGACCUGUUCUUCUCCAGGCACAAGUGUAAGCCAGAUCGGACAAGCCACUGGAAACUAACGAACCCAACCAAAGAGGGCACUAUGGAUAGUAUAAAGACCAGGAAAAACCCAUAGCUAAGCAUCGUUAACCCCACACUGGAGUGCCAUAAUUAAAGGAAAGACUAAAAGAAAGGGAAGGAACUCGGCAAACACAAGCCUCGCCUGUUUACCAAAAACAUCGCCUCCUGCAACUAGACCAAGUAUAGGAGGUCCAGCCUGCCCAGUGACUACGGGUUCAACGGCCGCGGUAUUUUGACCGUGCAAAGGUAGCGCAAUCACUUGUCUUUUAAAUAGAGACCUGUAUGAAUGGCCAAACGAGGGCUUAGCUGUCUCCCCCUUCCAGUCAGUGAAAUUGAUCUAUCCGUGCAGAAGCGGGUAUAAUUAUACAAGACGAGAAGACCCUUUGGAGCUUAAGGUACAAGACUCAACCACGUUAAACAACUUACUAAAGAGCAAGAACUUAGUGGGAAUCAGGCUUUACCUUCGGUUGGGGCGACCGCGGAGGAGAAAUAAGCCUCCGAGUGGAAUGGAAUAACCCCCUAGAGCCGAGAGAUACAUCUCUAAGCCACAGAAUAUCUGACCAUAAAUGAUCCGGCUCCACAGCCGAUCAACGAACCAAGUUACCCUAGGGAUAACAGCGCAAUCCUCUCCCAGAGUCCAUAUCGACGAGGGGGUUUACGACCUCGAUGUUGGAUCAGGACAUCCUAAUGGUGCAGCCGCUAUUAAGGGUUCGUUUGUUCAACGAUUAAAGUCCUACGUGAUCUGAGUUCAGACCGGAGCAAUCCAGGUCAGUUUCUAUCUGUAACGCUACUUUUCCUAGUACGAAAGGAUCGGAAAAGAGGGGCCCAUGCUUGAAGCACGCCCCACCCCUAAUUAAUGAAAACAAAUUAACUAAGUAAAGGGAGGGCCAAAACCCCUGCCAGUCAAAAUAAGGACAC